UUAUCAGACUUGUAGCAAAGUUGUUCUAACAAGUCUGAUACAGUCAUGAUAUAACAAGAAUGUCACAAGGUUGAUCACACAAUGUUGUAACAAUAUUGUUAUAUCAUGACUGUAUCGGACUUGUUGGCACAACCUUGCUACAAGUCUGAUAA